rnacentral:tRNA from 1 species
CCUUAGCUCAGCGGUUAGAGCAGGGAACUCAUAAUUCCUUGGUCGCGGGUUCGAAUCCUGCAGG